rnacentral:other from 1 species
GAUUCACUGCGGCGUUGGUGACUGCCAAUAACGUUUUAUGAUCUAUGCUGCUUCAAUAAGGGAACCAACAUAACAAUCUGACGGCAGUAGACCGGGCAUGUACCCGGAAACUUUAAGUCGGUAGGAUGGUACCCACCUGGUUUUAACCAGGUCAAAAGCUGAGGUAAGACGGCGUUGCGGUGAACCC